GACAUCGCUGGCUGGCCAGCAUUUCUUACCCACCCUAAUUGCCCUUGAUGGUGAGCUGCCUUCUGGAACCAUUGUGGGCUGACCCACAUUGCCCUUUGGAGGGAAUUCUAGGAUUUUUACCCAGGGGCGGUUAACGAAAGGCAAUAUACUUCCAAGUCAAACAGGUUGUAAAGUCUGCACUUCACCAGUCUUCUGAUACUUCAUCCAAGGCUAGGAAAGACUGAAGGAUUAUGAUGCACUCCGAUGUCCAGCGAUACACAAAUUCAAACAGCAAAAGCGGUAACUGUGCAGAAUUACUGUGCAGCUUGCAACAGGCCAUUAUGAUUUUCAAAACUUACUCGGGGCAUACUGAAAAUACCCACUGACUGGUGCACUGCCAUAAUAAGCAGGUAUCAAGUGUCUAAUCAAAAGAUGAGGUACUGUUCCUUGAAACACUGCUUGUUGGAACUCUGCAGGAAGCCAAGGACAGAGAGGCCAGCAGGAGAACAAAUGGAGAAUUAAAAUGACAGGGAAUUGGAAACUCAGUGUCAUGCUGCAGGGAGAUGUUCAGCAAAACGGUCAUGCAGUAUGCAUUUGGUCUCCCCAAGGUAAAGCAGCCUUCAGUGUACAGCAGUUCUACUAUAUAAUGAAAUGAAGAAAGGACAUGUAAGUCAAUGUUUCUCCUGGAAGAAGUUUUUUUGGUGUAUAAUGAAUAAAGAUGACUUUAAGCAAAGGGACACUUUUGCCAUCAAAGG